rnacentral:rRNA from 1 species
CAGAUUGAACGCUGGCGGCGUGCUUAACACAUGCAAGUCGAACGCGAAAGGGACUUCGGUCCUGAGUAAAGUGGCGCACGGGUGAGUAACGCGUGGAUAAUCUGCCCUUAUGAUCGGGAUAACAGUUGGAAACGGCUGCUAAUACCGGAUACGCUCAAAAUGAACUUUUUGAGGAAAGAUGGCCUCUGCUUGCAUGCUAUCACGUAAGGAUGAGUCUGCGUCCCAUUAGCUUGUUGGCGGGGUAACGGCCCACCAAGGCAACGAUGGGUAGCCGAUUUGAGAGGAUGAUCGGCCACACUGGAACUGAAACACGGUCCAGACUCCUACGGGAGGCAGCAGUGGGGAAUAUUGCGCAAUGGGCGAAAGCCUGACGCAGCGACGCCGCGUGAGGGAUGAAAGGUUUUCGGAUCGUAAACCUCUGUCAGAAGGGAAGAAACUACGUUGUGCUAAUCAGCAGCGUACUGACGGUACCUUCAAAGGAAGCACCGGCUAACUCCGUGCCAGCAGCUGC